rnacentral:rRNA from 1 species
UACGAAGGACCCAAGCGUUAUCCGGAUUCAUUGGGUUUAAAGGGCGCGUAGGCGGCCAGCGCAAGUCAGUUGUGAAAUCUCCGGGCUUAACUCGGAACGGUCAACUGAUACUGCGCGGCUAGAGUGCGGAAGGGGCAACUGGAAUUCUCGGUGUAGCGGUGAAAUGCGUAGAUAUCGAGAGGAACACCUGCGGCGAAGGCGGGUUGCUGGGCCGACACUGACGCUGAUGCGCGAAAGCCAGGGGAGCGAACGGG